ACAGUCAACGGGUGAAACUGCGAACAUGAUCUAAUCGACACUCAUCUAGUUUCCAUUGUAAUGAAACAACGGAGAAAGAAAGCUAAUUAGAUCAUGCUGGCAGCUUCAUCAGAUGUCGGUG
rnacentral:pre_miRNA from 1 species